GAUGAACGCUGGCGGCGUGCCUAAUACAUGCAAGUCGAGCGAACAGAUGAGGAGCUUGCUCCUCUGACGUUAGCGGCGGACGGGUGAGUAACACGUGGAUAACCUACCUAUAAGACUGGGAUAACUUCGGGAAACCGGAGCUAAUACCGGAUAAUAUAUUGAACCGCAUGGUUCAAUAGUGAAAGACGGUUUUGCUGUCACUUAUAGAUGGAUCCGCGCCGCAUUAGCUAGUUGGGAAGGUAACGGCUUACCAAGGCAACGAUGCGUAGCCGACCUGAGAGAGUGAUCGGCCACACUGGAACUGAGACACGGUCCAGACACCUACGGUAAGCAGCAGUAGGGAAUCUUCCGCAAGGGGCGAGAGCCUGACGGAGCAACGCCGCGUGAGUGAUGAAGGUCUUCGGAUCGUAAAACGCUGUUAGUAGGGAAGAACAAAUGUGUAAGUAACUAUGCACGUCUUGACGGUACCUAAUCAGAAAGCCACGGCUAACUACGUG
rnacentral:rRNA from 1 species